GGGGAAAACGUGGUUCCUGUAAAAUGGAGUUUACUUUAGAUUAGCAGAUUGUUUUUUGGAAGUGUGCGUUUAUGACUGCAAAACCACACACCCAUAUGCAUACUACUCAUGUUCAACCCCAUCAAUGUGUACCUCCUUAUGUCAAAUACAAGAGCCUGAACGCCA